rnacentral:rRNA from 1 species
UACGAAAGGGGCUAGCGUUGUUCGGAUUUACUGGGCGUAAAGCGCACGUAGGCGGAUCUUUAAGUCAGAGGUGAAAUCCCAAGGCUCAACCUUGGAACUGCCUUUGAUACUGGGGAUCUUGAGUCCGGGAGAGGUGAGUGGAACUGCGAGUGUAGAGGUGAAAUUCGUAGAUAUUCGCAAGAACACCAGUGGCGAAGGCGGCUCACUGGCCCGGUACUGACGCUGAGGUGCGAAAGCGUGGGGAGCAAACAGG